rnacentral:misc_RNA from 1 species
GGACCUAUCUGCUUCUGAAAUUAUGAAAUUGGCAGAAAGCAUAAUUAAAAAAUCGAAACAGGUUCAUGAUGCUGUUGCUUCGAUUCCACUUGACAAGGUUGGCUAUGUAAAUGUGAUAUUGCCAUUAGCAGAGUUGGAGGCACAGCAGUUCCCAUUGAUCCAAUCAUGUGUCUUUCCUAAAUGGUUAUCAGCUUCUGAGGAUGUACGCAAAGCUAGUGCUGAAGCAGAGAGGAAAAUAGAUGCUCACAUUACAAUGUGCAGGAAGCGCGAG